AGGAUGAGGGCUUACUGUCUUGGACGAAACUGAAGAUGCACUUUUAUGUUUUGGGUUAUAUGGAAAACCAAUACAUUUCAGGUAGUUUCCUUGAAAAGUCUUAGUGUAAGAUCUGGAAUACAUGCGUCACGCAGUUGAAGUUGUGCCAGGUUGCAGAUAACUUCAUAAAAGCUGGUGGCUUAUUUGUGGUGGUGGAGGUGCAGGUUUUGGAGGAGGAUGAGGAGGCAGUGGUGGUGGCUAGCAGCGGUUGUUGGGCCUAGACAGAUGCAUGUAACUCUCAAUUACACAAGAUAGAUGCAUAUGUAACUACCAAUUACACUAGACA